AGCGUAUUUGGGAAGAGAGUAAAGCCAAUGAACUGUCUGAACAGAAAGCACAAAGUCUAUCAGGAACCUGUCAUGGAGAAAGUGUAGGAUUGGGUUGCCAGCAUCGAGUUCUGUCCAGCACUGCCUCACCAACUUGCCGCUGUCUCUGGUGCAAGGCAGUGAGAAGCUGCCCUUGCAUUUAGAUGUACUCCUUGCUGCCUGCCUCUUGUCACGUUUCUCUGCCUGGCUGGGACAAAAAGAGCAACCCAGAGCCUUGGAACAAGCUGUGACCCAACGACCAGUACAAGGGAUGUCCGGAGCCGGUGAGGUUUUCCUCAAGUCCAGCCUUCAAAGUCAUGAAGAGAACCGCAGGACGUCCCUAUUUACAUUGGAGAAAUGAACGUGAAAUACUGGCAGCGAACAAUGGACAAGGCUGUGGCCAGACCUGAGAGAAGGAGCUUUGAAGGAAGACUGCAGGCGGACAUCUGCUGCAUUGCAAGUGGGGAGAGAGAAGAAAAUG